rnacentral:ncRNA from 1 species
AAAAGACUUAGUCCUAACCUUACAGUUGGUUUUUGCUGGACAUAUACAUGCAAGUAUCCGCAUUCCAGUGUAGAUGCCCUAGGCACCCUUAAACAAGUCGAUAGGAGCGGGUAUCAGGCUCACCUUAUCUGUAGCCCAAGACGCCUUGCAAUUGCCACACCCCCACGGGUACUCAGCAGUAAUUAGUAUUAAGCAAUGAGUGUAAACUUGACUUAGUCACAGCAAAUUAGGGGUGGUAAAUCCUGUGCCAGCCACCGCGGUCAUACAGGAAACCCGAAUCAACUUUACUAACGGCGUAAAGGGUGGUAACAUGAUAUCCGAGUAACUAAGAUUAAAAUGCAACUGAGCUGUCAUAAGCCCAUGAUGCCCAUAAGGCCAACUCCCAAAGAAGAUCUUAGUCCAACGAUUAAUUGAAAUCCACGAAAAUCAGGGCCCAAACUGGGAUUAGAUACCCCACUAUGCCUGAUCCUAAAUCUUGAGGCUCUACAUCAACCCGAGCCUCCGCCCGAGAACUACGAGCAUAAACGCUUAAAACUCUAAGGACUUGGCGGUGCCUCAAACCCACCUAGAGGAGCCUGUUCUGUAAUCGAUGAUCCACGAUAUACCUGACCAUUUCUCGCUAAUCAGCCUAUAUACCGCCGUCGCCAGCUCACCCCCACUGAAGGACCAACAGUGAGCGCAAUAGCCCAACCACGCUAAUACGACAGGUCAAGGUAUAGCCUAUGGAAUGGGAAGCAAUGGGCUACAUUUUCUAGAUUAGAACAUUACGGCAUAAGGGCCUGAAAUGACCCUUGGAAGGCGGAUUUAGCAGUAAAGUGGGACAAUCGAGCCCUCUUUAAGCCGGCUCUGGGGCACGUACAUACCGCCCGUCACCCUCCUCAAAGGCGACCAAUACAACCCUAUACCUAAUAAACUAUUAAGCUAAAGAUGAGGUAAGUCGUAACAAGGUAAGUGUACCGGAAGGUGUACUUAGAACACC